CCCUCCCUCUGUCGGCAGGCUUAACACAUGCAAGUCGAGCGAGACCUUCGGGUCUAGCGGCGGACGGGUGAGUAACGCGUGGGAACGUGCCCUUCUCUACGGAAUAGCCCCGGGAAAAUGGGAGUAAUACCGUAUACGCCCUUUGGGGGAAAGAUUUAUCGGAGAAGGAUCGGCCCGCGUUGGAUUAGGUAGUUGGUGGGGUAAUGGCCCACCAAGCCGACGAUCCAUAGCUGGUUUGAGAGGAUGAUCAGCCACACUGGGACUGAGACACGGCCCAGACUCCUACGGGAGGCAGCAGUGGGGAAUCUUAGACAAUGGGGGCAACCCUGAUCUAGCCAUGCCGCGUGAGUGAUGAAGGCCUUAGGGUUGUACAGCUCUUUCAGAUGGCAAGAUAAUGACGGUACCAGCAGAAGAAGCACCGGCUAACUCCGUG
rnacentral:rRNA from 1 species